rnacentral:lncRNA from 1 species
AGUCCGGCUACUAUACUCUUAUGAGUAUAGAGCCCCUUGUACUCAUAAAUUUUUGACCGUUAGUUCUACCCUUUAAUCAUUUUUACCCGUUAAAUUAUACUAUUCAACCAACUACCCACUCAACCCUACGGGCCUCACUAUCAACCUAACCUUAACCACUCUCAUCCUUACCGCACAUUUUUUCAUCCGAACGGCCAAAAACUUAUGAAUACAAAGGGCUCUAUACUCAUAUUAGUAUAGUAGCCCCAACCUA